GUGUUAACGUUUACUGAUGAAACAAUAUUAACAUUGAUAUAAACAGUCAUGUUUGUGUAACUGGCAUAUUAAAUAUUACAAAUGUUCUACGUGAACUAUAGAAAUACUUAAGAUAUAGAUAUUUCUUUAAUUUUUUUUUUGUAUCAAAAAUGAAAAUUUUAUAACUACAAGUAAAUACAAAAAUAUGAACUCGGACAAUAGGUAAGUUGAGUACGAUGAAUUUUCCUUGCGUUUCAACAUCCAAUUUCCUCAUGUUGUUUAUAGAAAUCAAUCCCUUAUGAGAUCACACACAAACUGAUACUGUAUAAAAUCAAAUAGAUCGACAGUAGUUUAAAGGUCACGACAUAAUACAUGCAAGCGACGGCAAAGUACGAUUUUUAACACUUGCGUGACCGUCAAAUAAAGAUGAACAAGAAUGUGUCCAAAGUACACGUAUGCCCCAUCCGCACUAUCAUUUUCUAUGUUCAGUAGAGUGUGAAAAAGAGAUAAAAACUAUAAUUUGGCAUUAACAUUAGAAAUAUCAUAGCAAAAGAAACAUGUGUACUAAGUUUCAAGUUGAUUGGACUUCAACUUCAUCAAAAACUACCUUGACCAAAAACUUUAUCCUGAAGCGGGACAGACGAACGAACGGACGAACGAACGGGCGGACGAAAAAACGAAUGGACGGACGAACGGACGCACAGACAAGAAAACAUAAUGCCCAUAAAUGGGGCAUACAUUUAAAAAUAAAUCAAUUAAUUACCAGUUCAACUAUAAACAAUGAAUUUAAUUCAAUCUUGCCAUGUUUGAUUUUUUUUACUUCAAAAUUUGAGUAAUAUCAGAAACAGUUAUAUACGUUUUCAAUCGUUAUAUCAAUAUUUUUUUUAACAAAACAUAAUUGAAUAGAAACGACAAGCGACAGUACAAUUUAAAAAGUUUUAACAUUGAAUUAUUUAGCAUCUGUUGUGCUUCAAGUUGUGUGCAAUGGAUGAACAAUUAGAAAAGAACAAUGGAGCUUCAAAUAAGGCAACAAAUACCUUAGUGUUUAAGAAUACGUACACUAGUUUUCAAAGAAAUCGCAAAGAAAGCCGGGACUUAUGUAGAAGAAGAAUGAAACAUGAGUUAGGUAUGCUUCCGAUUUUCGGACGACAUUAUUUGUAUAAAAAGAAUACUUUUAGUUUUAAUAUUUUC
rnacentral:lncRNA from 1 species